rnacentral:rRNA from 1 species
UACGUAGGCAGCGAGCGUUGUUCGGAGUUACUGGGCGUAAAGGGUGUGUAGGCGGUUUUCUAAGUCUGGUGUGAAAUCUCCCGGCUCAACUGGGAGGGUGCGCCGAAAACUGGAAGGCUAGAGUACUGGAUGGGUAAGUGGAAUUCCUGGUGUAGCGGUGAAAUGCGUAGAUAUCAGGAGGAACACCUGUGGUGUAGACGGCUUACUGGACAGUAACUGACGCUGAGACACGAAAGCGUGGGUAGCAAACAGGAUUAGAUACCCUGGUAGUCCACGCCCUAAACGAUGCAUAUUUGGUGUGGGCCAUUCAUUUGGUCUGUGCCGGAGCUAACGCGUUAAAUAUGCCGCCUGGGGAGUACGGUCGCAAGGCUGAA